AUGUCCGGCGAGAUCCGACGCGUGCAGAGAGAUCCAUCUCUCUCUCACACACGAGAAGGAAAAUCCCCCGCCCCAUUCCCACGACUCAUCUGCCUCUCCCUCGAUCCCCUUCCUUCCCGAGGACGCACGCGCCGCCGCCUCCCCGAUCCCCUUCUCCCCUCGCCCCCCACAUCGUGCCGCCAUCCACCUCGUCGCCUCCCAGAUUCAUCCUCCUCCCCCUCCUAUUCCCCUCGUCAGAUCCAUCCAUCCAUUCGUUUUUCCAUCCGAUCCACCUGA
rnacentral:rRNA from 1 species